UCCCUCGUGGUCCAGUGGUUAAGACUCUGAGCUUCCACCACAGUGGGUGUGGGUUCAAUCCCUAGUCAGGGAA
rnacentral:tRNA from 1 species